rnacentral:rRNA from 1 species
UGCCAGCCGCCGCGGUAAUACAGAAGGUGCAAGCGUUAAUCGGAAUCACUGGGCGUAACGCGCUCGUAGGUGGCUUUGUAAGUCAGAUGUGAAAGCCAAUAGCCCAACUAUUGAACUGCAUUUGAAACUGUAAACCUAGAGUAUGGGAGAGGUAGAUGGAAUUUCUGGUGUAGGGGUAAAAUCCGUAGAGAUCAGAAGGAAUACCGAUUGCGAAGGCGAUCUACUGGAACAUUAUUGACGCUGAGACGCGAAAGCGUGGGGAGCAAACAGGAUUAGAUA